GACAGAGGUGCCGAGCGUUAGGCGGAAUCACUGGGCUUAAAGCGUGUGUAGGCGGAUGCCUAAGUACCUUGUGAAAUCCCACGGCUUAACCGUGGAACUGCUUGGUAUACUGGGUGUCUUGAGCCACUUAGGGGCGACCGGAACAAACGGUGGAGCGGUGAAAUGCGUAGAUAUCGUUUGGAACGCCAAUGGUGAAAACAGGUCGCUGGAAGUGUGCUGACGCUGAGACACGAAAGCCAGGGGAGCGAACGGG
rnacentral:rRNA from 1 species